UCGGGCCAGCUAUCGGAGGAGUUACUUAACUGAUCUGACAUAGCGAAAGCAAGGACAGCAACGCCUGUGGCCGAGCGGAAAAUCACGGGCGUUACCUCAGUGGGGAGCCGCUCCGACAGGUAGUGGAACGGUAGCGAGGUAAAUUAUUAACGUAGUAUGACAACGCGGCGGUUAAGUGAAUUCAUAUACUAUGAACUACGUGUGAGUAUCUAAAUGCUGUAAGAAAUGAUUAUUCGACAAUGGAAUAAAUGAUGAUAAAAA